CUGGCAUAGGGGAGGAGGCAGGGGAGGAGGGGCGCGCGCGCCGGGUGGGGAGCCAGGGAGGGCUUCGCCGCUGCCUCCCUCCCUCCCUCCGCAGCUUGACCCGGUAGUGAAGGCAGAGAGAGAGGCAGGCUGGGUCCGCCUGGCAGCCUACGGGAGGAGGCGGGAGCCGGGAAGGAGGGGAGCCGAGGCCCGGCGUGGGGAGGCCGGCAGGAAGGGCCUCGAGCCAGUGCGGACCUUUCUUCAGCCUCUGUGCCGCCGAGCCGCGCGCCAGGCUGCUGUGCGAGGAGGACGCGCUGACUUCCUCCGACCUGGGCUCCUAUGGAGCAGAACUAGCGGGACCUGGACUUUGGCGCUCCUGGUGCCACAUCUUGGGCUCUGCGAGCCUCCUGGCGUGGGAUCCUGCCGUGAGAAGGAACUGGGGCGGGGGACCCGGCGGGGCAUUGCGGGAGAAGGCCUGGGAGCCCUGGGAGACUUGUGGCCUGGGGGAGUUCACUGUGUAGAGAGGUUUCAUGUCUUCCUCUAUACAGUCACUUAUUUGUCUCAAAGUUCUCGAAAUUCCCUCUUAGAGAAGGAGAAAGUUAGAGAACUGGAGGCUGCGUACCCUGAUUGCGCAGAGGGGAAGCAGCCUCGCGUUCCCCCGGGCAGGCCCCCUCCCGCGCGUCCCGCCAGUAGGGGAAUUUCGCGGAGGGUUGCGGUAGUCUAGUGAAAGGCUAUCCAAGGGUAAGGGGCUUCGCUUUUCCCAAGCAGGGGAAACAGAAAGGGUCUACAGGGCUAGGGGUGGAGGUAACGGAUGCAAUGAGCAGCCUCCGCAGAGAAAAUGGACAAUUUAACUAGGGACCUGCGGCCGAGAGAAGGCAGAGGCGCUCCCCUGCCCAUGAAAGCCACCAGAGUCGGCUUGUACCUGGGGAAGAAACCUUAAGACGAUCUGGCCCAACACUCCUUUAGUCACAGAGAAAGGGGAGAAGGCUCCCGAGAGUGAAAAUGGCACAGUCGGAGCUGGAACUCAGCUCGCUGACCCCAACCAGUGUUCCCUUCUUUUCGCCAGGUUUGCAUCCAGGAGAGGGGAGGAUAGGGGCAAAAAAGGAUGCAGGGAGGCUGCUGAUUUCCACAGGAGAGCUAUUUUCUGUGAGACAUUAACAGUGAUUUUUUUUUUUAAUUCCUGUAACUGGUAAAUGAAUUUCAUUUGCUUAACUUUUAAAUGAUAUGUUUCAGACAAAAAAAAAGUUGCACACCCACUUAUCUCUUUAAGGCAGAGGAUGAAAAGCACUGAACAGGUAGGAUUCUUAAUGUCUGAGAUGAAGGUGAUGUCGGAGGCAAACAGUACAGUUAAAAAUGUUGAGUCGACACAAACAGAAACACCAGGUUUCAAUCCAAACUCUACUGCUUACUGAGAAUGUGAUCUUGAGUAAACUGACUUUCCUGAGCCUCAGCUUUCUUAGUUGUUAAAUGGACUUUAAAAAUACUAAUCUGUUAAGACUGUGAUGAGAAUGAAAUCAGGGAAAGCAGGCACAGCAGUGCUCUCCUGGCACAGGUGAGUAGGCGUCCGAAAUGAUAAUUCCCUUCCUCUUUCCCUCAGGUAUAACUUACUACUUGGGGAUGAGGGGGAUCAAAUGUAGUCAGAACUGGAAGAGAUCUUAAAGAUGAUUUGUUUAACCUUGUGUCUUUUUUCACUUGAGAAAACAGAUCCUCCAUAAGUUGGCUGCACUAGUGAAGCUUAUUCAGUAAGCCAGGGGCAGUGCCAGGAUCUGAAGCCAGAUCUGCAAGCAAUGCCCAGGAGUAGGCAAGACUUGAUAGCAAAGCCUAAUCUCACCCAGAGAAGUUGAGUGUUAGCAUUAUGAGGCAUAGUUCUAAAUAGAAACUCAUUAUGAGAACCGAAUAUUUAUAUUGUAAAACCAAAUGGCAAGCUACCAUUCAUGGAAGAUACUAAUAUUUAUUAGGUUCUAACUACAUGCUAGAUGUUGUUCUAUAGGCUUUACACAUAAUACUUCAUUUCUCCUGACAUUUUGAUAAAGUAGGUACUGUUAUCUCCUUUUACAGGUAAGGAAACUGAGGUAUACAAGGAUGAACUUUUGCAAGGCUACAAAUCUAGUUAAUGGUGAAGGUAACAUUCAGACCCAAGUGGUUCAGCUCUAGACUUUGUCUCAGUUACUGAAUUGAACUCUCUGUUCACUUACCAUGUGUCAUACCAGCUCUCAGUAUGUAGUGUCCCAAAAGAUUGGGCCUGCACUUUCUUUCAGGGGGCAAUUAGGAAAAAAGUAAACAAAUGGAGCAGGAUUUGGGCAUAACAGCAUGCUUCUCCCAUCCCCCAAAUCCCAGAAGUGUCACUGGGGUGUGUGCCAGUUAAUUUAGCACUCUUCAACUUCACAGCCACCCUUCUUUGCCCUAAAUUGUGACAUUAGAGUUGAAAUCUGUAAACGUCUUUAUGGUCAGUUGGCACAAUGUUUAGGUUUGUCAAUAGAAGGUGCUAAGGAAACACUGCAGAAAGAAAGGGGCUCCUUUUCUUGGUUCCAGUGCUUUCCUGCUUGCUCCUACGGUGUGGUGGCCAGUGAGUGACUUUCUGACCAGUGGUGUGCAGGAAGGCCAUGUUACAUAAUCUUCAGUAAAUUUGGCCAGUUCCCUAGUGUGUGUCUUUCUAUGGAGUGCUGCUGGCAUGUCAGUGGAAUGGCUUCCUAGCAAGUUUUACUGAAAACACAGCUGAUGGUUUCCUCAGCAGCCCAGUGUGUGACACCUUAAAUUUCUGGAUCAUUAAGUGGACCACAGCCAUAUUAUUUCCAAUGAGGUCCUACUCUCAGGCUUAGUAGGGUGGCGGGUGGGUAGGGGGAAGUUCUUCUUAGUUAUUCUCUCUUUGGGUACUCUCCUGUAGCCUGACAGAUAGUGACUAUUCCCAACAAUCACUAUUGCUGUGUUCUUUAGUGGGCUUUUUUCCUCUCCUAAUAGUUAACACGCUUUGACUGGAUCUUGAUUGAUAAAAGUUGAACCCUGAGGAAAGCACUAUCCUUGGAGUCAGAAAUUGGGAUCAGACUAUAUUUUUUCUCUCUAUUUUGGUAUUCCUCACAUUCACUUUAUUUACCCUUUUUGGAUUUUAUGCUAUGUCAAGAAAAAAUUAUUUCAUCACUAAGCACUCCAAGUGUAGAGCAGAACGCUAAAUAUUGCAUACUAUUCCAGAAGAAAAAUAGUUUAGGAAUCCUAAAAGCCAAAGAAAGAAAGAUAUGAAUGCAUUCAGUUCUUAGAAGAGUUCUAUGGGAUAGAUGCUUGUGGCAGACAUGGUCUCCACCCAAAUCUCCUAGGAUCCCUUUGGUUGAACUGAGUAUCCUUCCUCUAGCUUCUGCAUUCUUUUGCUUCUUGCAGGCUUCCCCGAGACUCUCUUUGGAGGAAUGCCCAAACACUACUAGACCCACUUUGUCUACUGACUCAGAGAGCCAGACAAAACCACCUGCAAGUUUACUUCUUUCCCAAGAUGCCCUUUGCCAAGGACUUUCCUAUAGAGUAUAAAAGACCAGCCCUCUUGCCUCUAGUAGCAAGAAAACCUGAGGUGUAAUUUACACUCUGAGACUCCCCUGUAGAAUUAUAUUGAUGUUAGGAUUUUGCCUGAAACCUCCUUCCCUAUCUUGCUUACUGUGGUACAUGAUUAGUUUUUCCCGAUAGCAUUUCUAUAAUAAAUCACUUGCAGAAACAAUCUUCAUCUCAGAGUUUGAUCCUGGGGAUCCUGACUUAAGACAUUGCUAUUCUUUCUUUGUUUCUUUUUUUUUUUUUUUUUUUCUUUUACAGAUGAGGAAACUGAGGAUCAGGGCUUUUAAAUUGCCGCAAAUCACACUACCAAUAGGAGGUAGAGUUGUGGUACCUUUUUUAGAGGGACCAUUAUUUUGCUGACUACAGUACUGUAGGGCAUACAGUGUCUUAUCCACACUGUUUCUGAGUCCAGUCUGUCAAUAUCAGUACUCCACGAUUAUUGUGUUUGUUUUUCUUUCUCCCUUUUAUCUCAAAAAUCUCUAUUGUGAUGCAAGAGACCUUUCUGAAACCUCUCCUUUUUUCUGUGUUUAAAACCGCCCAGUGCCGCCCAAUAAAUACACAGCAAAGUCCAAACUCCUUAUCCUCCUUGGAUCCUCCUUCCCACACUUUUUAACUGUUCAGCCAUAUUUCUGCAUGUACUCUGAGACUGGAAUCCAGGGCAACAAAGCUAAUGUGGGUUCUCCAAGAUUAACACAAAUGAAAGGAGGCCCCUUUAUGCCAUCUAUUCUAGGUUCCUUGGAAUAUAAUUAAAACAGGAAUUUCAACAUUGAAAUGUAAUUAUGUUCAGAUAAGGACAGUAAGGUACAGUGGCUUGAGCCAAUCUCCCACCAUGUCUGGGGACUGGGACAGCUGACCCAGGUGUCCUACCUAAGGCUCAGGCCUGUGUCUUCACUUCUCCUUUCAACCCUUUACUUCUUCCAAAGCUGAACGCCUUACUUUCCUUGGCUCACUAGGCCAUUUCAUGGUUUGUGUUUGCCCGAAAUGCAACCCUUUCCCUGCCUGCUCACCCUCAAAGAAAUACCUCUGGGCCCACUUUCUUUCUUGGAAGCAUUUUAUGAUUCUCAUUUCUGUUACCAACACAGCUUUUAUUUAUGUCUCCAUGUAUCCUUUGCAGAAACACAACUUUCCAGGUUCUAUGUUUUAUUUGCAUUCUUAGUGUCUGGCACAUUGUCUGACACAGUGUAAAAGCUCAGUAGAAUUUUGCCUGAUAGCAGAUGUGUCUAAAGUGAGGGUGUCCAAAAUUUCAUUAAAUGACCACUGCUUUAAUAUGAAUUCUUGGUUAAGGCAGGAGAAUCGCUUGAACCUGGGAGGCAGAGGUUGUGGUCAGCUGAGAUCUCACCACUGCAAUCCAGCCUGGUGACAAAGGGAGACUCUGUCUAAAAAAAAGAAAAAAAAAAGAAAAAAAAAAAAGAAAGAAUAUAUAUAUAUAUAUAUAUAUACACACAUAUUUUCUUUCUAUAAAAAUAUAUAUAUGAAUUCUUACUGAUAGUAUUAAACGAUUAUCUCUUUACACUCAUAGUAAUGUCUUACAAUAACAGAAUGCAGGAGAGCACAUAUCAAUGAAGAAAAGACAAAAUAUACUUAUCCAUGAAACUGAGGUUAAGAAACCAGUGUCUUCAAGAGCUGGGGACAGCUCUGCAUAAACACUGGGUCUAUGCAGACUUGAGAGAUAGUGAUGACAUGGUGAGACACAAACUCGAUCUAUUUCAUAGUUCGUCUGUGAUCAUUCCUAUUAAUAAACUUAUUUUCACAACUGUUUCAAUAUUCACACAAAAAUGUUAACCCAAUCUGCAAUUAUACCCCUUGAAUGUAAAAUAAAACAAAAGCCCACAAAAAAAAAAAAAAUGAAUCCACACUUAAAAGGUGGAUUUAUUUAGCACAGUAUGGAGUUUCUUAGACUUCUCUGCCACUGUCUCUAACAAUGACAUACUCAACCCCACAAAAGUAGCUUUAUUUUGUCUCUAGUUUUCAUCUGCAAAUUCAUGUGGAUUUUAAAUUCUACCCUUUUGUAGGUUUGUAUUUGUACUAUUAUAAAAUGUGACUCUCUUUCCAAACUUUGCCUAAAUUGCAGAAUGAUUUUUCCUGUUUAUUCAGUGGUUUCCAGCUUUCCUGGCCCAGUCCUGGAUUCUGCUCUUCUGCAGUGGUUUUCAGCAUUCCUGGCCCAGUCCAGGGACACUGUGAGUGUGUCCAGCUUAAGUCCAGUAACUGGAAAUACAAGCCCAAGUUCUGGAGAGUUCGAGCUGCAGAGAUAUAUAUGGGGACACUUUCAACCUUGACUCGUUGGCCAUAACCAGCAGAGUGGAAAAUAGAAGAAGAGGAAAAACAUUGAACUGCAAUGUUAUAACAUCCUUUACUAGGCAGAGAAAAGAGGAAAGACCAGGAAAGAAAACUGUAUUACAAUGUGAAAAUGUAAUGUUGAGAAAUUCAGGCAUCUUGGGGUUAGUGAGAAGUUUUAGGGGCUUGGACUCUUCAAAUCACAUGUACAGAAAUGUGUAUUUUAUCUGAUAUCAAAUGACAUUUAUAGUGCUAAUCUUUAUCUCAAGACUUCACAUCUUUUGGUGAUUGCAUCUUUUAGGUUUAUAGCAGUUAAGUUUGCAUGAAAGCACCAGGGCUGUUUCAUUUCAGUCAAGAAUAAUGUUCAUUGAUUGUGCUUCUGCAUUUCAUACAACUAUUUUAGAACUUGUUUUAGUUUUAUGAAGGAAUAAUUGGUCCAACUUCUAUGUAACUCAGGAAUUUACUCUCAAACAACACUGUCAAUUAGUUACCUAUCUCUCUGCAAAUGAUCUGGGAACAUUGAGAGGAAAGGAAGGAAGAGGCAAAAUCUGACCACUUAAAUCUAAGCAUAUUAGAUCAUUUUGGUUGUUAGAAAGUCCUGAAUGAUGUGACUUACGUUCUUGUAAAGCAUCUCUUUGCAUAGAUUCAUGGCCCAAACAAUAUAUAAAGAGUGGAGAAGGAACCGCAGUUGCAAAUAGUUCAAAUCAUUGCUCCAUCUUAACUCUGCAGUUCACAAAGUGUGAAGAAAUUUGAUCAUCUCAAAAAAGAUAACAGGAAAAAAAAUAAUGUUUUGUUCUGUGACUUUAAAGUUUUGCAAUAUUUUACGUACAUGAUAACGGGUACUUUAACAAGAACCCUUGAUACUUUUGUUAUUGUAUUCAAUAUAUGCUUAUAAUACAACAGGAUCGUAUUGUUUGGGAUUUGGAAAUAUAUUCUUUCUUAUGCAAUCUUAUGCAGUGAUACUGCUUGAAUAUAAUUACAUGAAUUUAUCUUUCUUUUUUGUUGUUGUUGUUUUGCACUCUACUUAUUUGGUGCCUGUCAGUCUUUUAUCAUCAGUUUAUAUUCUACUAAACUCAAAAAGACAAUCUCAUACCUUUUGUAAUUAUAGGCAUUCCUUACUAGAUUUUUAAAUAGACUUCAAAAAUUCAAGUACUUUGAUUUAAUGCCAUCAAGUAGCUGGAUCUAUCCCCCCCCCACCCCCCGCUUUUAAAUGUUAGUGAGUAGUUCAAUUUCUGUCACUUUCUAGUUUGUGAAUUCUAAAUCUUUUAAAACAAUCUUGCCAUUUUUCAUGCACUUAUCCUUAUGGAAAACUCUAUGAAACACUACUUAUCUCUUACUUUUAUGUUUUAAACUACUUUUUUAUGUUACUAUUCCCUCUGCUUUCUAAAUACACAUAUUAAUGUAUUCUUUUUAUUCUCUGUAGCUCUUCUCAGUAUAUGAAUUCAGUUUCCCAUCAAUCCCCAUACAAUUUUAAAAAAUAAAUGUUAAGUAUUCUGUUAUUUUAGUAUGAUAUCUAGUGCCCAUAUUCUAAUUCUGCCUCUUAUUUUUAAAAUAAUUGUAUUAUUGAUUUAAAAUGACAACAGUUUCAAUUUCAAGAAAGUGAAAGGAAACAAAGGAAUAAUAUUAUGGGUUUAAUUUUUAUCAGUGAACUUGUAGGUGAAGAAAAGGUUUUGGGAAGGAAAUGAACAUAUUUUACUGCAAAAUAGUAAGGAACAAUCAGAUGUGUUUUCUAGUUUCUGGAAAAGCAUGUUUCAAGAAAUUCAACGACAAAUUCAUCAUGCUUGCUUAGAUUGUUGAGAAGCAAAAGUGCUGAUGAGCACUAGGAAGCAAUGAGAAUGUAAUUCUAAUCAUACUGUUUUAAUACUUUUGCAGAACUCUCCAAACGCCGCUCUGUGUGGAUGUCUUUCAGAAUUUGAUGAAUACUAGGGGUCUUAUUCUGCCCUUUUCUCUCUACCACAAUAUAUACAUUGUAUCACACACAUAUAUACACAGUAUUUUGUGUGUGUGUAUAUAUAUAGUAUUACAUGUAUUGCACACACAUACACAUUUUCCAAAUAUUACAUAUAAUUUCACGUAAUUUAUAGACCUAUUAAGGCCCAACCAUUUUCUUGGAUAGGGGAUUCUUUGGAAGUCCAGCUUAAAUAAAGCCCUUAUAGAACUUUUUUUUUAAUUUAUACAUAAUCACCUACAGUAACAUUAUCUACUGAACUCUUAGUACAUGCUACCUGAACCUUUUAUCACGUUUCUUCCUGGCUUGUAUUACAAAACUGUUGACAUAUCUCAGCCUCACUUCUAGGCUUCUUUGAGAGCAUGACUCAUGUUUGUAUUCCUCACUGAGGUUGAAUGAAUAAGAGAAACUACAGUAGUAGGAAAAAAAACUGCACAUGUAGAUAUCAGUGAAUAUGAAAGGGUCAAAUGAAUCUAUUAUAGUAAGCACAAAAUCAACUGACACCAACAAAGUAAACCCCAAAAUUUUAAUGGUAUUUUAAUAGAUCAAGAGGAACAAGCAGAUUGCUAUCUGGGAAGUUGGUAAAGUUUUGAGACAAUUGUCUCCUACUUUCUCUAUCAUGGGGAGUAAUUUUAAAAGAAAAAUGGAGGGUAAGUUUCUCUGAGAGAAAAUUGUAGCUUAAAACAGGUCAUGGGAUAAUUAGAAAUAAUUUAAUUGCUUUAGAGGAUUUUAAUCUUUCAACUGCUCUCAAUUAGAUCCUAAGGCAAUAAAAGAAUCAGGAGGUUUGGAAAACCAUUGUCUGUAAUCUCUGAAGAAAAGUGGACAUUAGGGGAGUCAGUUGAAAAGCGAAGCUAUCACCAUUUUCUAAAGAGGAAAAAGGUGAACCUCACAAACUAUAGACAAAUAGGACUAUCAAAAAAAUAGGACAUCGAGAGAAAGAAUAUGAAGCUCACAUAGGUUCACAAAGAAUGAGUCAAAUCAAACAACAUACAUUUUUAUUUAUAAAGCAUGACUUGUUCAUUGUCAAUUCAUGUUAGCUUAAUAAUUAGGCAUUAAUGCCAUCACUGCAAUGCAUAUGUCAGCAAUGAAUAAUCAAAGGCCAGGCUUCCAUCAUUCUGUUUAAUAUCUUCGAGUAAUGCUUAUGUUUGCAAAUGCUCUUUUAACACAUUCUCCAUAUGCAGCCUGUCCAGCACUGCACACAAUAGACCUGUUACUUCCCCCUCACAAGCACUCCUAAUAUUUCAUGUGUUUAUCCAAUUGACUUCUCCCACUGGUGCCUCAUAUCGAAUUUGUAGAAUCACACCUGCUCCUUUUUCAAAACUCUUCUGAGAUUUUUUCUUAAAUAAUUCACUGACUCAAAAGCUGUCAGAUAUUUGAAGACUAGUUGCAAAAUUUUAAUAUUAUAAAUGUAUAAUGUAAAUGUAAUCAAGAUUUGUAUAAUGUACAAUGUACGGUGGUAAAUAAAAGUAUGCUGUGAAUAAAUACAUAUACAAUUC